GUCAAAUGACGCUCAGAGUGGUUUCAGAGCUAUGCUGGAAACAGCAUAGCAAGUUGAAAUAAGGCUAGUCCGUUAUCAACUUGAAAAAGUGGCACCGAGUCGGUGCUUUUUUU
rnacentral:sRNA from 1 species